rnacentral:rRNA from 1 species
GAUGAACGCUGGCGGCGUGCCUAAUACAUGCAAGUCGAGCGAACAGACGAGGAGCUUGCUCCUUUGACGUUAGCGGCGGACGGGUGAGUAACACGUGGGUAACCUACCUAUAAGACUGGGAUAACUUCGGGAAACCGGAGCUAAUACCGGAUAAUAUUUCGAACCGCAUGGUUCGAUAGUGAAAGAUGGCUUUGCUAUCACUUAUAGAUGGACCUGCGCCGUAUUAGCUAGUUGGUAAGGUAACGGCUUACCAAGGCAACGAUACGUAGCCGACCUGAGAGGGUGAUCGGCCACACUGGAACUGAGACACGGUCCAGACUCCUACGGGAGGCAGCAGUAGGGAAUCUUCCGCAAUGGGCGAAAGCCUGACGGAGCAACGCCGCGUGAGUGAUGAAGGUCUUCGGAUCGUAAAACUCUGUUAUUAGGGAAGAACAAACGUGUAAGUAACUGUGCACGUCUUGACGUUACCUAAUCAGAAAGCCACGGCUAACUACGUG